AAAAGUUUAAUUUUGGCUUUAUGCUUGACUUUUCAAUUAAUAUAUAUGUUAAUAUUAUUAUUUAGAAAAUUUGAUUUGCAGUGUAUAGUUUUAAUUUAUAGGUAAUUCUAGAUUUAGUAAUUUGGUUAAAUUUGGACGUAAUUUGUGCCAGCAGUUGCGGUUAUACAAAUCAUGUUAGUUAAGCUUAUUUAAUUUGAUUAAAUUUGUAAUUUAUUAAUUUUAUAUUGAGUUUUUUAGGUGAAAUUUUAAAUUCAAUUAAUUUAUAUGUUUGUUUUUGAGGUUAGGAAAUUCUUUUUUAGACUAGGAUUAGAUACCCUACUAUUUUGAGUGUAAAUUUUUGGUUAAAGUUAUUAUUAGUUAAGGUCUUUAAAAUUAAAAAUUUUGGCGGUAUUUUAGUCUUUUCAGAGGAACCUGUUUUUUAAUUGAUAAUCCACGAUUAUUUUUACCUUAAUUUUUAAUUUGUAUAUCGUUGUGGCUUGAAUAUUUUAUAAGAAGUUUAAUGUUCGAUAAUUAUUAGGUUAAUUUAAUUCAAAUCAAGGUGCAGUUUAUAUUAAGGUUAAAAUGGGUUACAUUUUGCUUAUUAAUAGAUUCUGUCUUUUGAAGGUGGAUGAAAUUGGAUUUGAAAGUAAUUUUGUAUAUAUAUGUAAUGUGAUUUUGCUCUAAAAUAUGCACAUAUUGCCCGUCGCUUUCGUUUAAUAUGAAAUAAGUCGUAACAAAGUAGGCUUACUGGAAAGUGGGCCUGGAAAGACA
rnacentral:ncRNA from 1 species